rnacentral:ncRNA from 1 species
UUUCUUCGGGGCAGGGUGACUGGAUCUGGAUAAGAGAACAGAAUUCCCUACCGGCGGUAUAGUCCGCGAGCCGCUUGGGCGGUUGAUUUGGUGAAAUUCCAAAACCGACAGUAUAGUCUGGAUGAGAGAAGA